rnacentral:rRNA from 1 species
GGGCAAGCGUUAUCCGGAUUCAUUGGGCGUAAAGCGCGCGUAGGCGGUCUGUUAGGUCGGGAGUUAAAUCCGGGGGCUCAACCCCCGCCCGCUCCCGAUACCGGCAGACUUGAGUUUGGUAGGGGAAGAUGGAAUUCCAAGUGUAGCGGUGGAAUGCGCAGAUAUUUGGAAGAACACCGAUGGCGAAGGCAGUCUUCUGGGCCACAACUGACGCUGAGGCGCGAAAGCUAGGGGAGCGA